rnacentral:lncRNA from 1 species
AUUGAAUUUACCCAUCAGUGCGGACACGCGCUGGUAUUGUCUCUCUUCGGUGGGUUACUGGAUGCCCAGGAAGAAUGAGUAACCUGAGGAGGUGGAAGAGGAGGAGGAGGAGGAGGAGGAGGAGGAAGAAGAAGAGGAAGAGGGAGCUUGUCCUGGUGUGGGGCUGGCAGUUUGCGGGGCAGGGGUCUGAAAAGGAAGAAGGUUGCUGUCAGCAUGGCAGGGAUCUGCUUUCCAACACACUCUACACGAUAGGCAUAAAUUGCCCUUCCACACCCCGAUCUUGUUUCAAUAGUUGCCUGUUGCCUGUCCUUAACUAAUAUCUGGUCUCAUGCUGGGCCUCAAGGAAAGAUAUAAAAGAAGAGGAAAUUAUUAUCUGUACAGCCCAGCUGCGUGUACUGUUAGAUGCUGGGUCAGGCAAACCACCAGUUCCAUUUUAAUGAUCCAGUUUUUCUUUAGUCUUAGCAAACAGAAGUGCCUGGCCAGAAGAACCAACAUACUAAACUAUUUAAGACACUAAAUUUUUUGACCCCAACUGUGUGUCAUCCACACGCCGUGUCACCACACUCUCUGGAAAACACAGCAUGCAGUGUGAUUUCACAGCACUCUUGUUUCCCACCACGCUUGUGAGACAGAACCACACCAUGACACAUCUCACCCGGGAGACAGCCUCUCCUGGCAGGCUGGUUUCGUACCAGACACAAGGUCUGUUCUGGCGGGUGGUGGCUGCAGAAGACACCAGAGUGCCACCUGUGAAAGAGGCAGCGAGUAGAAAGCGUGCAGGCUUAUGCUCCAGUGGAUAUGCCUGGGCACAAACUUUUCCACGUUUUUUUGGAUGAUCUCUAGCCUUUGUUUCUGUCUCUGUGAUGCACUCUCACGGGAUGUAUCCUUUUCUGCAGUAGUGAUAAAACAUGAAUGGAGAGCAAGUGAAGGCCCAGUGUCAUUCCAGGGAAAGAUAGACCACUUAGAAGAAGCUCAGAGUUUCCAAGCAGGUGCAUUUCUGCCUCCUGUGAAAAGUUCCCAGGAGAGUAGAAACAAGAUACAAGUGUUCCUCCAUGGGCCUCUGACUUAUGGCUACCUCAGUGAACAUGCAGGUUACAAGAAGGACACUCCAUCUUGUCAACCUGCUACUACUGCCACUCCCUUGGUCUGCUCAUGUACACGUAGGGCCAAUGUUGUGAGAACCUGUCUGUGGGCACCGGGGUCAAGCCAUUGCUAUCUGCCACCCACACAUGACCAGAACCAUGUACUCUCCACACGUGUACACAUGUGCACACUGGUAUCUCUCAUUCCUUUCUAAAAUAUCAUUGCAGAUUUACUUUGAGCUGACACCACCCAGAAGAUUUCUUCUCAUCUUAUUAAUGUGACAGGUAGCUAAUAUGAAGGCAUGCCUUAUAAUAAUUGUACAAAGAGAUUUCCAGAGAAAUAGAAGUUGUGGUUUUGUACUGUUUCCCUUCCCUAAGAGCUGGAGAGUGGAUGUUAGG